CGCCUCCGCCGUUCUGCCCUCCGUCUCUGCCGAGGCCCAGACCGUAGCAUUCGCCGCCCCCCCCCCUGCUCCGGGACGCCGACAUGCAGAGCAACAUGAGGAGGAGCGAGGAUUCGUUGAUGUAAUGCCGCCGGUCCAGCAGAUUCUCCCUCACAUCGGUUGCCCCUACCUUGGAGGGGCUACAGUUUCCAGACAGAAAGAUUGAGUGGCGGGAGGAGCUAUGCUCCGUGCUGACGGUUGGCGAACAUGUUCCACAUGCCUUGCUGCUCAGGCAUUCCUACUGCCUGGGACCAAGACGACGUCCCAAGCCUGAUGUUGUUGCAUGUCUUUAUUGAGUGCAGUUCUGCACUUUGAUCUGCCAUAGUGAGCUCAGGGUGUCUUUGAAGGCGAGGAUGGGGUGCAGGAACAACGACGUGCUCCACCUGAACGACGCUACUGAUGCUACUGAUGACCGGCCACCACUCCGAGCUGCUGCUGGUGAGGGACAAAGACGGCGGGAGGAGCUGAGCCUCUUGCCGGUGGGCUGCGCCCACGGCCAUGCUGUUGCUCGCGGUGGCCCCGGACCAAGACCACCGCCGGCGAUACACUGUGAAGACCCCUGCCCUGGCCUAGCGGCAGGAUGGCCAAAGACUGCUGCUCCUUUUCCUUGGCGAGUUGAAAAAUGAGUUAUGCGGGUACUUCAAUGCAUGUGCUGUUCCACAUUAUUCACCAUGGCUUGACAAGAAAUUGCCCUGCUGUGAGUAAGCAGCAGACUCCCCAAGGAUUGGGAAAUGAGCAUGGAACGAGGUGUUGGAACAGAUAGGUGAUGGAGCAUUUGACUCUGGUCUAUUAGUGAGGCACGAGGUGGGGAAGAAGUAUUUGCUGAAGAAGAUCCAGCUAGCUCCACGAACUGACCGCAGUCACCGGUCUGCCUAGGAGGCAGGAGGAGAUGGUGGUGGCAUCCUUAAUCGCCACAAAGUUCCUGUCGGCGGCUGGUGCAUCCUCCUUGAGGCCGCUUCGCCACUUGCCGGCGCAACAUCUGGUCUCCAUCCUUGUGGUCUCCGCUGACGUCCUCGACGGAACCACGCCAGUCGCCGCCAAGCAGCCGGCAGGAGAAGAUGGUGUCGGUAUCCUUCACCGCCACCAAGUUCCUGGCGACGUCAGCCGUGUCAUAUGUUAGUCUUCUCUGCCGCGGGCCAGCUCCAUCCUCGUGGUCUCCGCCGGAAACAAGGCUUCGUCCUCCGCCUCCCUGCAGCUGGUGAGACUUCUUAUCCCUUAUCUUCGGAGCAUGUUGCAGGACGGAUACACAGGUGUAAGAAAAAAGCGUCUUGGGGCUCCUUUUACUGCUCCACGAUUGGAUUCUGGUAGUUGUCGUCAGUAGAUUCAGGACUGGAUGAUUUGUUUCAGAAUUUGUUUGAGUGAAGGCUUACACAAAAUUUGUAUGCAAGGUUGGAUAGUAGUUCAAAAGUAGAUGCUUACCAUAAGGUAGCUAGUAGCAUUUAGCUUCCUAACGUGCUUUGCUCUGGACAAAGACAGAAGUACUAUACUACUGGUUAUGCAAAUAAUCAGGGUUAGCAUUUGGCAAUAAGGGUUGACAUAGUGAUAAGGCUGAGUUUUUUUGAAGUCAUUACCACUAAUAAGUAAAUAUGGCUAAAAACAGUAGUUUUUUUAGUUCUAUUUUUUCUGUUGUAGUGUCCUUGGUGGUUCAUUGUUUGUAUAGCUUGAUCUCGCAAGAGGAAUAAUGGUUGACUACACAUUGGUGUAUGUUCUCAAAUAUAUCCCACUCUCCCAUUCUACCAUUGGUCAGCUUUGUGCCCACAAUUGCAAAAAUGCUAUGAUGAGUCAUGAAAUGUACAACGCAUGUCAGACUUCAGAGAUGCCACAUCAUGCAUGAGAAGAUAUUUCAUAUUCUGAGAUAUUUUUUUUGGUUUCAUUCCUCAGUUUCUACAUGCCUGAUUCUGUUCAUAAACAAAAAGUUAUGUUCCUUAGGUGCUAGUGGGAGAAUUGCGUAGUUGUUGUCUCAGUUUGUUCAAUUGCUAUCUACAUUUUUGUAAUCACUUUUUUUUUUCUCGAACACAUGCCAAAGCAUGCGUCAUAAUAUAUUAGAAGAAAACCGUUGAGAAGACGGGAGCAUACAGGGAGUAGCAGAGCUACAAAAGAAAUUCAGAGAAAAGAAAAGAUCUGUACAGGGCUAACUUUGUUAGUCCUAAGGAUUUGUUUAAUCAUUGUCUACAUGAUUUGUUUACUUUGGUGAAGAGUGGAGUCUACAAUAGCGGCCACGACAACUUGUAGUAAGCAUUAGGCCAUGGAGCACCUCCACUGCCCCCAUGCUCGCAUCGAGAGCAGCUCGUGGUGCGCUGGCUGCCAUGAUGGAAACGGCAAGGUGCCCACGCAGCCGCAGCUGCUGAGGCACUGGAGACGGAGGCCCUCCUCAAUGGCUUCAAUAUGCCCGUGUCGACCUCGCACGCCAUGGUGGUGCGCCCCUGAUUGUUUGAUAUGGUGCCACUGCUGGUGGACGAGGUGCUGGAGAAUGUUCAUCAUGACUUGUAUGCCUCCAGGGAUGAGAAGAUAUGAGCUAUGCACGCAUGCAUUUGAGGAAUGUCAACUGCUGUAAUAACAAGUGUGCCCACAACAAUCAGGGCUUGGAGCAAGUAUGUAUACUGAAGGAAGUUGUGGUCUAGGGUUGCAGCGACAAGGCACCGUUUUGCAGGUAAAGAAGAAAAGGCUAAGACGAUCUGAAGCAAGUAGUUUAGAUGCUUGUAAUGUUUCUGGCCGCUUUGGAGUUUGGCAUGUCAUGGAAAGCUGGUCUUGGCGCCGCUGCUGGUGAUGUGCUGGUUGUGGCAUCGCGUGUGUGAUACUGCCAGCUUUGGUACUUGUAGUGUCGUCUUUGUAAUGCUCCUGGCCAGGGAGUGGUGGUGAUACUGAGUAGCUGAUCAUAUUUUCGAGUCUUGUGGGUUUUUUGUAUUUAAAAUGAUAUGAUUUGUGCUGUGUGCACAUUAUUGUUUGUUGUGUGUUGUGAAUGAUAAAAAAGAUGCAAAAUUUUGAGUGCCGAAUACUAAUGUUUGUUACUAA